AUAUAAUUGCUUAUGUUGUAAGAAACGUGUAUUAAAAAAAUUGUGUAGAAAGAAAAAAAUUGAGUUUGUCUUUCGGCUGUCAGCAACAAGCCUGAAAAACUCCAAAGAGAUGGAUGGCUAGGAACAAUAUAAUUUGCUAAUUUUUUUUAUUUUUUUUAUUUUUGCAAUUUCUUGUGUUAUACCUUUAGGUAGCAUUCCAUUGUCUCUAUAAAGAUGGACAAAUGGUUUUGGGAUUUAUAUUUGUUAGAGUCUCAACUCCAAAUUAAUUCUAUAAGAUCAGUUUAUUUUAUGCAAGAUUAAAGAAAGAGAGUACUAACUACCAUUUUGUAAUUCAAAACUUGCCAAAAACUCUAAGCGUCUGGGCAAAAAAAUGUUCGUGUACUGUAGAGCAUGACUACUUUUACUAUGGGCUUGCACGGUUCUUCUUGGUUCGUCUGCUUCCCGCGAGAUCUCAUUAUUCCAUGCUCAGAUGGCCAUGUGAGUUGCUUCUGGAGUGUUGACUAUUUUGUCUUAUGUGUAAAGCAAUUAUGUGAUUUUUCUUAGGCUUGGGUUCCUUCUGGUUUUUUUGGUUUGGUCGUGUCUCAUGUUUAGAGGAGUGGACCCAGAGAAAUGAUUGUGCAUUAAAUGUUAUGCUUACUUGGCUGGGUGUUUGUCUCCUGGGUAACAUUGGGUUGCAAUGGAUCUGAAAUCUGUAUGAUCAGUUGGGGAUUUCCAGUGCCUUGCCUCUCUUAUUUUUCCUAUACACCUGUUUUGAUGUGACCAGACUUGUGUGGUUUGCGUUGUUUCACUGAGGGAUUGCUUCCCGUUUUUGUUUGCUGGACUUUGAUCUCUUCUCUGUUGGUACUCUCUCCUGGGCCUUUGGCAGGUUCUUCUCAUUGCCUUCUAUUUCUUCCCUUCAUUGUUGUUUCAUCUUGUGCGUUGCUUUCUGCGUCAGAUGCAUUCUUGGCAUGCUUCUUGCACGUUGUUGUUGUUGGCAGCCUGGUUUGGAUAACAUUUAUCACAGUUGAUUCAUUGUAGGGUUCAUCAUUCGCUCACUUCUUUCUAUUUAGCCUUUCAGCUCUGCUCAAUUAUUUUUGUCAAGGUUGAAUCUUUAAACUUUAUGUAAUGAAACACAGGGAGAUGAAAAACAACAUAGAUAUUUGAAGAUCACAGAUUGUUCAUUGGUUUGUCAUAGAAUAUCUAGGUACACAGUUUGAUUUUGUCUAUCUUGAUUGCUCCAUUGCUUCAUCUUUUUCUGCAUAUAUCGGUGUUCCUUUCACCCACAAUAAUUUCGGCUUCUUAUCCAUCAUCGUUCCAUUUUCUCUUUCA